GACCCAGUGGUAUAAUGGUUAACACACCAGCUCUUACUAGCGAGGAUCCACAUUGAGUAUGCUGGAGCUUCCCGUUUGACUCAGGGCUGGGUCA